GAAAUGCGAUAAGUAGUGUGAAUUGCAGAAUUCAGUGAAUCAUCGAAUCUUUGAACGCACAUUGCGCCCUUUGGUAUUCCUUAGGGCAUGCCUGUUCGAGCGUCAUUUAACCCCUCAAGCUCAGCUUGGUGUUGGGCGACUGUCCCGCAUCCCCCGCCCGGGGGCCUGGGACUCGCCUCAAAUCGAUUGGCGGCCGGUACGUUGGCUUCGAGCGCAGCAGAAACGCGAACUCGGGGCCUGGCGGGCUGGCUCCCACAAGCAUAUAUCUUAUUUUUGACCUCGGAUCAGGUAGGGAUACCCGCUGAACUUAA
rnacentral:misc_RNA from 1 species